rnacentral:rRNA from 1 species
CAGCAACGUCGCGGUGAAUGCGUUCCCGGGCCUUGUACACACCGCCCGUCAAGUCAUGAAAGUGGGCAGCACCCGAAGCCGGUGGCCUAACCCCUUGUGGGAUGGAGCCGUCUAAGGUGAGGCUCGUGAUUGGGACUAAGUCGUAACAAGGUAGCCGUACCGGAAGGUGCGGCUGGAUCACCUCCUUUCUACGGAGA